UCCUUGGUGGUCCAGUGGUUAGGACUCAGGGCUUUCAUUGCUGGGGACUGGGUUCAAUCCCUGGUCAGGGAA
rfam:Ovis aries breed Texel chromosome 2, whole genome shotgun sequence.